rnacentral:lncRNA from 1 species
GAGCCAUGGAGAAUCAUUUCCCGAUGGAAAUAGGACUGAGUCUUAACGAAUUUCCAGAUUUCCAACAUUUCCCUCUGUAUUUUAGUAACCUGAUUCUAUGUACUUUGCAUUUCCCUCCUUUUUUGAAAAGGAUUGUCUGUAAUGACUAUCUCAACCUCACUAAAAAUUGUGUGGGUCAGUGAAUUAACUUGCUUCUUUAGCCCAGGGGUUGGCAAACCUUUUCUGUAAAAAGCCAAAUAGUAAAUAUUUUUAGCUUUGUGCCUGUUUUUGCAUAGUUUACCAAAUAAUUUUGCUACCAGAGCUAUGCAUUUUGCUAUGUCUUGAUUCAUUUAUUGUAUUCCUACUUGGAAAUUAUUCCCUUGGCAAUGCACAACUGAACUUUUAUACUCAUCUCUAUAUACGUGUGUAUAGACAUAUGUAUUUUUCUACAUAUGCCUAUAUUUUUGUAUAUGGAUAUUUUGGGUAGCAAGCUUUGUAAUGAUUUCUCCUAGUCUGUUACAUUUAUUCCUAUAAUUUUUGUUUUAUUGAUUGCAUAAAAAGUUUUUAUUUUUCAUGUAAAAAUAAAAGUUUUCAAUAUUGAAAAAAAAAA